rnacentral:lncRNA from 1 species
CGUGGGCCUCUCUGGUGAAGUGUUUAUCCUUGAUGCCAAGUCAGCACAGCGAGGGAUUAGAGGCCUGCAGAGAGAAACAACUUGCCUCACCCUGAAGAAAUUGCCAAAAAUAUGAUGCAGGGUAGACACUUCUCAGCUGGGGCUCAUUGUAGAAAGGCAGAGAGAGGCCAGGUGCUCAGUUGUUCUCAGGGAUGUUGAAAACCCCUUCCCUGUGCCUACUGUGGGAGAAGGCCGGGUAGGAGCGCGCGUCCUGAGGAACGUGAGUGGAGCCUGCUUUGCUGAGCCCUGCAUCCGUGCUGGAUUGGAACUGGCCUCCUUUCCUCGCCAUUUGAGGGACAUUCAACCAGUCUUGCUGGAGGGAAGUGAGCUUAGGGAGGUUCCCAGCUGAAAGGAGACAAUUCGUGUUCCCCAGCUGCCUCUUCACUUCAGGAUUCAGCCUAUGCACCUCUACAUUGUUGACCUCUGAAGCUAUUGAUUUCUGUAGCUGGAACACAUUCAAGCUGCAGAUGGAAAAAUCUGAUUUACCUUAUCACAAAAAAUGUUUGGUCCUUCUGUAAACUGCAUUUUUAAUUUUGGGGCUUACUUCAGGAAAAUAUUGGAAACAUUGCCUGUUUAUUAUUAACAUCUUAUUUAUUAUUUGCUAUCCAGAUACUUAAUAAAAAGUAAAUACCAAAAUAUUUUUUUUAGAAA